CAUCAACAGGGAACUCUUUAACAGCGAGAGUAUUCUUGGGCUGAAGAGACCUGAUCAGCCAUUUCCCACUGGUCAAGGUGGAGAUGGUGUUGGUCUUCUGAGAUGGAGAAUGCAAAGAGCAGACGAGUCGAUGGUGCCACUAACAAGUAAGGCUUUAUUGAUCAACUUUGUCUGUUUUUGACAGAGUUUACAUGUAAAUGUUUGAUCCAUUCUUGGAAAUCGUUUGUCUGGUGCAGUCAACUGCUGGCCUUCAGUGUCUGGAAACGAGACAUAUGUGAGCAUCGAGUAUGAAGCCUCGUCCAUGUUUGAUCUGACUAAUGUUAUCAUCUCCGUACCUCUUCCUGCUCUGAGAGAUGCACCAAUCGUUAAACAAUGUGAUGGGGACUGGAGGUUUGAAAAUUGAAUGCCUUUAAUUUUUCUCUGGUCAUCUCUUUUUUCGUGGAAGUCCUAAUUGUUUUAUCCAGUCCUAAGAAACAACCAUACCAUUGUGAAUGAUGUCAGGUAUGACUCAAGAAACUCUGUUGUGGAAUGGUCUAUACUUCUCAUCGACAACUCCAACCGCAGGUAAAUAAAUGAUGACACCAUCUGUUAUGGUAUAUUCUCGCAUCUCCCACGCCGGUUUACUCUCUCUAGAUACAUCAGACUUGAUAAAUCCAACCAGUGGCUUCAUCACUAACAGGUACUGCAAAUUCAAAACCAUCGAAACAUGAAUCAUGAAACAGCAUGCAAGAUUCCCUCUUCUUACAUUCAUAUAACUAGAGGCUUACUUGGAAUGCAAAGAUUAAUGGAAUCAGUCGUUUUCCUCUAUCGUUUGGGUUUGGCCCUUCCACAAGUUUCUUGUCAACGUGUAUCGACUUGUUGCCAUUAAAGGAGAUCUCUGUGAUUGUCUUGAACAGGUUUGGGAUCCAACUAGUUCCAUCUGGAAGAAUCUGUCACAGGUUUGGAAGAAACAAAUCACAAGAUUAGAUUGGACCAACUAAAAGAAUGCAAGAAAAUAGAUAAAAAUGGAAGAAAGAAACCAAACAAACUCACCUUUUCGUCGCUUUCAUUCUUAUGACACCUUCCACUGUUCUCAACAAGUAUGACAGGAAUCAACGAACCCUGCAUAUCCUGUUUCUUCAGUUGAGCGGCACCACGGAUCAGUUUCAGAAGAGCAUCGGAUCUUCUGGAGACAAAGAGAUCAUAAUUUAAUCCAUCAGGAGGAGAGAACUGAGCAUGACUGAGGACAAGAGCAGACUUCUUCCAUAUCUCUUUACCAAAUGCAUCUGUUAUAGCCAUCACCACCUGCCUAUCCAAGUCAUCAACCCGGUAUACAUCCAAACGGUCCACGUAUAGUAACACAUCUAUAGUCUUGUUCAGGAGAAAUCUGUUCAAGAACAAUCAAAAUUACUAAUGAUGAUUAAUAAAAUUAGGAGGAGUGAGUCAACAACAUACAUACAUACCGUUUGAUAAGGUUGACGGCUUGAUCAUUAACGUAUCCUCCCUCAAUAAGACCAGGAGUGUCGAUGAUGUUUACUGUAAAACCUGACCGUGAGCGAGAGACCAAGGUCGGUCUCAGUCCUUCAGACUAUAAAUAAGAAAAACAAACACUUUUAACUAACAGUGAUGAAGAAAGAGAUGAGAAGAGGACUGAACAUGGUACCUGGAAAGUACUGACUGCAGCAGCUCUCUCGCCUAUAACUGAAUUAACAGUUGAAGACUUCCCAACACCGCCUUUCCCCAUUACAAGUACUGUUAGCGAGCUCACAUCCUACACCAUUUUUAUUUUAUCUCUUCAAACAUUAACCAGUGAUAACAUUACACAAGUAGAAAGCGUAUGAAGCUAGAAAUAAAGAAUAGGAACCUCUUCUUUGAACUUCUCAAGGAUCUCAAGCAGCUUAGAUUGAGUAGCAGAUGGGAACUGCUGAAUACCGAUCCAUUCACGAGACAUUAGCAAAGCUGCCAUGUACACAAACAACUCCUUCCUUGUCCUACACGUUGAAAGCAAAGAGAAGACUCAAUCAUCUGCUAGAAUCUACAUAAUCAGUUUGAUUUCGCUGCCUUGAAUCAAGCCUAGGACUUUUUCUAUCAAGUGGAGUCUCUGGGAACCAUAAAGUAGAUAACUUUAUUACUAAACAACGAAAACCCUUGAGCCAGUUCUCUUCUAGAUCUCCUUAUAGGAACAUAACAAUCUCAUUGCUUCAGAAAGCAUCACUGAUCAUACCAAGAACUAAUAACUUAAGCACUGAUUAAGUUUCACUAAUCGGGUACUGACAAAUCCUAAGAACUGGGUCAAAAACAGAUCAACUGAGCAUGCUUGUAAGUGAAAAAGAGACAGAGAUAGUGACCUGUCGGAGCUUGAGUUAUCAGUCGCCGGAUAUUAGCUGACCUCGUAUCGAAUUAAAACCCUAGGAAUGAUGAAAUUGACUUUUCAAAGGUUGAUUAAUUGCUUCAAUCAAUGUCAACCGGACUAAACCGAACAUCGGUCAAGCAGACUAAACCAGCUGUGAAAAAUUAGUAUAAGAUGGGCUUAAAGGCCCAAUAAUAAACUGAAUCGGCCCAGAACAGUUCUUAACACACUAUAUAUUUAAUCGAAACUAACUCCUAUCAUCUUUUUUUCUAAUUACUUAGCGAGCUCCUGCGAAUCGCGUUUGAUCAGAGUCUCUUGGUAACGUCUUCUUCUCUAGCUCUUCGUCUCUGAUUUUGAUUCUACAGUUACGUUUCUCGAUAAUGUGCCUCUGAUACUCUUAGAUCCGAUCCGUUGGCUCUGCAGGAUUCUUUAGUUUUUUUCGUUUUGAUUCGUUAGUCGAGUCUAUCAUAGUGUUUCGUUUCGUUAGAUAUCAUCACUGUUACUCGAUUUAUGAUUCUGAAUAUCAAAUCUCGUUUGAUCUCGUGUUUGUAUUCCAGAUUCACACUACCGUUCUUAUAGCUGCUGAGAUUGUUGCAGCCUGAAAAUCAAAUAAAAAAUGGUAUAGAGUUUCUAUUUGAUUAUACAUUUUGUUGUUGUGAAUUUUUUAUUGUUUUUUUUAGUUUUCUAGUUUGUAACCUUUUGGUUUAUCUAGGUCGUGACUAAUGCCUCCAUUGUGACCAAAUCUGGAAAAGGUGAAUUAUUCUUGUAUUACAAAUUCUCAUUCCACAAUUAUCGUUUUUUUUUUCAUUAUUUUUUGGUUGUUUUUUUUUACAGUGCUUGUUUCUAGACAAUAUGUGGACAUGUCCCGUAUUGUGAUUGAAGGCCUGCUUGCAGCUUUUCCUAAACUGGUUGGCUUGGAGAAGCAGCAUACUUAUUUUGAGACAGAGAAUGUGCGAUAUGUGUAUCAGCCUAUUGAAGCUCUCUUCCUGCUUCUUGUUACUACUAAGCAGAGUAACAUUCUUCAAGAUCUCGACACCCUCAGGCUGCUCUCCAAACUUGUAUGCUUUCUUUCUUCUUUUAUACGUUUCAUUCGAGUAGUUUAUUUCCUUGAGUCUGCAUGUGUAUUACUGAGUGUGCCUCCUUCUGCUAGCACCUUAUCUUCACUCAAGUGUGGGCAUGCCUUUUGAUUAUUUGGCUGUUUAUAGGUACCUGAGUAUUGCAUGUCUUUAGAUGAAGAAGGGAUUGGCAGGGCUAACUUUGACCUGAUACAUGCUUUCGAUGAAGUCAUAUCACUUGGGCACAAGGAAGAUGUGACGGUUGCCCAGGUGAAGCAGUACUGUGAAAUGGAAAGUCACGAGGAGAAGUUGCAUAAACUGGUAAUGCAGAGCAAGAUCGAUGACACUAAAGACGUGAUGAAGCGUAAGGCUAACGAGAUUGACAAAAGCAAGGUACGUACAUGACAGGAGAGCACCCUGUUUCUUGUGUUAUAUUUGUAACUCUUAUUAAUAUUUCAUAUGGAAUUCCCAGAUUGAAAAGACUAGAGGUGACAAGGGAGGGUUUUCGUCUAGGGGUUCAAUGGGAUCUGGAAGACUUGACAGUAGUUUCAAUGACUUGAACAUAUCUCAAGGUGGUGGCGGUGGUUAUGGUAGUGGUACUGGAUUUGGCAUGGUUUCAGAUUUUGAUCCGCUCACUACCAAGGCGAAAGGUUAGUGUGGUGCUUCACUGAUCCUGAGUUUUCCUGAUAUACUUCAAAUAAUCAUCUUUUUAAUCGUUCUUAAUCUCACAGAUAGAUCACGGUCUUCCGUCACUGCUCCUCCUAAGAGUUCUGGCAUGAAACUUGGCAAGUCGGGAAAGAACCAGUUAAUGGAGUCCCUUAAAGCCGAAGGUGAAGACAUCAUUGAAGAUGUUAAGCCUACUGGGCAAACUAGAGCAGCUGUCGCACUUCCUACUGAUCCUUUCACAUUAACUGUCGAGGAGAAGCUCAGUGUCGCAUUGAGACGCGAUGGUGGAAUCAGUAGCUUUGAUGUGCAGGGAACCCUCUCGCUUCAAAUUCUUAACCAAGAAGAUGGGUUUGUCCAAGUUCAGGUAAUCCAACUUCCAUUUAUUUCUAAAUCUAUUUCCAAUGUGUCUGCCAGGCCUUUUACAGUGUUCUCGAGUUUUUUUUUUGUUAUGAGACUUUCUAUCUUUACUUUGUUUUCAGAUUGAAACUGGUGGAAACCCUGAAAUUCGUUUCAAUACUCAUCCCAACAUCAACAGAGAACUCUUUAAUAGCGAGAGUAUUCUUGGGCUGAAGAGACCUGAUCAGCCAUUUCCCACUGGUCAAGGUGGAGGUGGUGUUGGUCUUCUGAGGUGGAGAAUGCAAAGAGCAGACGAGUCGAUGGUGCCACUAACAAGUAAUGCUUUUGGAGAUUAGCUUUGAGAGGUUUACAUUUUAAAUGUUUGACCCAAUUAUCAUGGAAAACGUUUGUGCUG
rnacentral:lncRNA from 1 species